CAGUCGACGGACCUUUCGGGGUUAGUGGCGGACGGGUGAGUAACACGUGGGAACGUGCCUUUAGGUUCGGAAUAAGCUCGGGAAACUGGGUCUAAUACCGAAUGUGCCCUUCGGGGGAAAGAUUUAUCGCCUUUAGAGCGGCCCGCGUCUGAUUAGCUAGUUGGUGGUGUAAUGGACCACCAAGGCGACGAUCAGUAGCUGGUCUGAGAGGAUGACCAGCCACAUUGGGACUGAGACACGGCCCAAACUCCUACGGGAGGCAGCAGUGGGGAAUCUUGCGCAAUGGGCGAAAGCCUGACGCAGCCAUGCCGCGUGUAUGAUGAAGGUCUUAGGAUUGUAAAAUACUUUCACCGGUGAAGAUAAUGACUGUAGCCGGAGAAGAAGCCCCGGCUAACUUCGUGCCAGCAGCCGCGGUAAUACGAAGGGGGCUAGCGUUGCUCGGAAUUACUGGGCGUAAAGGGAGCGUAGGCGGACAUUUAAGUCAGGGGUGAAAUCCCAGAGCUCAACUCUGGAACUGCCUUUGAUACUGGGUGUCUUGAGUGUGAUAGAGGUAUGUGGAACUCCGAGUGUAGAGGUGAAAUUCGUAGAUAUUCGGAAGAACACCAGUGGCGAAGGCGACAUACUGGAUCAUUACUGACGCUGAGGCUCGAAAGCGUGGGGAGCAAACAGGAUUAGAUACCCUGGUAGUCCACGCCGUAAACGAUGAUUGCUAGUUGUCGGGGAGUUUACUUCUCGGUGACGCAGCUAACGCAUUAAGCAAUCCGCCUGGGGAGUACGGUCGCAAGAUUAAAACUCAAAGGAAUUGACGGGGGGCCCGCACAAGCGGUGGAGCAUG
rnacentral:rRNA from 1 species